GAGGGAACCUGGUACAUCCAGUCACUUUGCCAGAGCCUGAGAGAGCGAUGUCCUCGAGGCGAUGAUAUUCUCACCAUCCUGACUGAAGUGAACUAUGAAGUAAGCAACAAGGAUGACAAGAAAAACAUGGGGAAACAGAUGCCUCAGCCUACUUUCACACUAAGAAAAAAACUUGUCUUCCCUUCUGAUUGAUGGUGCUAUUUUGUUUGUUUUGUUUUGUUUUGUUUUUUUGAGACAGAAUCUCGCUCUGUCGCCCAGGCUGGAGUGCAGUGGCGUGAUCUCGGCUCACCGCAAGCUCCGCCUCCCGGGUUCAGGCCAUUCUCCUGCCUCAGCCUCCCGAGUAGCUGGGACUACAGGGGCCCGCCACCACACCUGGCUAAUUUUUUAAAAAUAUUUUUAGUAGAGACAGGGUUUCACUGUGUUAGCCAGGGUGGUCUUGAUCUCCUGACCUCGUGAUCCACCCACCUCGGCCUCCCAAAGUGCUGGGAUUACAGGCGUGAGCCACCGCGCCUGGCCGAUGGUACUAUUUAGAUAUAACACUAUGUUUAUUUACUAAUUUUCUAGAUUUUCUACUUUAUUAAUUGUUUUGCACUUUUUUAUAAGAGCUAAAGUUAAAUAGGAUAUUAACAACAAUAACACUGUCUCCUUUCUCUUAUGCUUAAGGCUUUGGGAAUGUUUUUAGCUGGUGGCAAUAAAUACCAGACACGUACAAAAUCCAGCUAUGAAUAUAGAGGGCUUAUGAUUCAGAUUGUUAUCUAUCAACUAUAAGCCCACUGUUAAUAUUCUAUUAACUUUAAUUCUCUUUCAAAGCUAAAUUCCACACUACC
rnacentral:lncRNA from 10 species